CGUCUGUACACAUCAGAGAUGAGAUGUCGCUCGACCGUGAGACAGGUGCUGCAUGGCUGUCGUCAGCUCGUGUUGUGAAAUGUGGUAGUCCGCAACGAGCGCAACCCUUAUCCUUUGUUGCCAGCAGNUCCGGCCGGGAACUCAGAGACUGCCAGUGAUAAACUGGAGAGGAUGACGUCAAGUCAUCAUGGCCCUUACGACCAGGGCUACACACGUGCUUACAAUGGCGCAUACAGAGCGACCNCGCGAGAGCAAGCCAAACCUCAUAAAGCGCCGGAUUGGAGUCUGCAACUCGACUCCAUGAAGUCGGAAUCGCUAGUAAUCGUGGAUCAGAAUGCCACGGUGAAUACG
rnacentral:rRNA from 1 species